CCUACGGGGGGCUGCAGUGAGGAAUAUUGGUCAAUGGACGAGAGUCUGAACCAGCCAAGUAGCGUGAAGGAUGACUGCCCUAUGGGUUGUAAACUUCUUUUAUAUGGGAAUAAAAUGUUCCACGUGUGGGAUUUUGUAUGUACCAUAUGAAUAAGGAUCGGCUAACUCCGUGCCAGCAGCCGCGGUAAUACGGAGGAUACGAGCGUUAUCCGGAUUUAUUGGGUUUAAAGGGAGCGUAGGUGGAUUGUUAAGUCAGUUGUGAAAGUUUGCGGCUAAACCGUAAAAUUGCAGUUGAAACUGGCAGUCUUGAGUACAGUAGAGGUGGGCGGAAUGCGUGGUGUAGCGGUGAAAUGCUUAGAUAUCACGAAGAACUCCGAUUGCGAAGGCAGUUCACUGGACUGCAACUGACACUGAGGCUCGAAAGUGUGGGUAUCAAACAGGAUUAGAUACCCUAGUAGUC
rnacentral:rRNA from 1 species